AAGGGUAUAGCUCAGUGGUAGAGUGUGUUCUUAGCGUGGACAAGAUCCUGGGUUCAACCCCAGUACCUCCA
rnacentral:tRNA from 1 species